GUGGUAGUCUAUAACGAGCGCACCCUAUUUUUAGUUGCUAACAGGUUAAGCUGAGGACUCUAGAGAGACUGCCGGUGCAAACCGUGAGGAAGGUGGGGAUGACGUCAAAUCAUCACGGCCCUUACGUCCUGGGCUACACACGUGCUACAAUGGUAUGGACAGAGAGCAGCCACCUGGCGACAGGGAGCGAAUCUACAAACCAUAUCACAGUUCGGAUCGGAGUCUGCAACUCGACUCCGUGAAGCUGGAAUCGUUAGUAAUCGCAUAUCAGCCAUGAUGCGGUGAAUACGUUCCCGGGCCUUGUACACACCGCCCGUCAAGCCAUGGAAGCUGGGGGUGCCUGAAGUCGGUGAGCGUAAGCAGCCGCCUAGGGUAAAACUGGUAACUAGGGCUAAGUCGUAACAAGGUAGCCGUACCGGAAGGUGCGGCUGGAACACCUCCUUUCU
rnacentral:rRNA from 1 species